CGGGGAAUAUUGGACAAUGGGCGCAAGCCUGAUCCAGCCAUGCCGCGUGAGUGAUGAAUGCUCUAGGGUUGUAAAGCUCUUUCACCGGUGAAGAUAAUGACGGUAACCGGAGAAGAAGUCCCGGCUAACUUCGUGCCAGCAGCCGCGGUAAUAUGAAGGGGUCUAGCGUUGUUCGGAUUUACUGGGCGUAAAGCGAACGUAGUCGGACUUUUAAGUCAGGGGUGAAAUCCCGGGGCUCAACCCCGGAACUGCCUUUGAUACUGGAAGUCUUGGGUAUGGUAGAAGUGAGUGGAAUUCCGAGUGUAGAGGUGAAAUUCGUAGAUAUUCGGAGGAACACCAGUGGCAAAGGCGGCUCACUGGACCAUUACUGACGCUAAGGUGCGAAAGCGUGGGGAGCAAACAGG
rnacentral:rRNA from 1 species